rnacentral:rRNA from 1 species
AACGAACGCUGGCGGCAGGCCUAACACAUGCAAGUCGAGCGAGGUAGCAAUACCUAGCGGCGGACGGGUGAGUAACGCGUGGGAACGUGCCCCUUGGUACGGAAUAGCCCCGGGAAACUGGGAGUAAUACCGUAUGAGCUCUACGGAGGAAAGAUUUAUCGCCAAGGGAUCGGCCCGCGUUGGAUUAGGUAGUUGGUGGGGUAAUGGCCUACCAAGCCGACGAUCCAUAGCUGGUUUGAGAGGAUGAUCAGCCACCCUGGGACUGAGAAACGGCCCAGACUCCUACGGGAGGCAGCAGUGGGGAAUCUUAGACAAUGGGCGCAAGCCUGAUCUAGCCAUGCCGCGUGGGCGAUGAAGGCCUUAGGGUUGUAAAGCUCUUUCGGCUGGGAAGAUAAUGACUGUACCAGCAGAAGAAGCCCCGGCUAACUCCGUGCCAGCAGCCGCCGUAA